rnacentral:rRNA from 1 species
CUGCUCAAUGAUAAUUUAUUAAAUAGCUGCAGUAUUUUGACUGUACAAAGGUAGCAUAAUCAAUUGUUUUUUAAUAGGGAUCUAGUAUGAAGGAUUUAAUGAAAUAGUAACUGUCUCAUAAUAAUAUUUUUUUAAUUUAUUUUUUUUGUAAAAAUACAAAAAUUUAAUUAAAAGACGAUAAGUCCCUAUAGAAUUUAAUAUAUUUAUUUAUAUAAAAUUAAUUUAAAAUUUUAUAUUUAUAUAUAUAUUUUAUUGGGGGUAUAAAAAAAUUAAAUUAAUUUUUUUAAAAAAAAUCAUUUAUAAAUGAUUUUUUUAAUUUUUAUAAAAAAAUUAGAAUAAAUUACCUUAGGGAUAACAGCAUAAUUUUUUUGGAUAGUUCAUAUUGAUAAAAAAGAUUGUGACCUCGAUGUUGAAUUA